rnacentral:rRNA from 1 species
CGUGUAGGCGGUCUGGUAAGUCAGGUGUGAAAGCUCCGGGCUUAACUCGGAAAGUGCACUUGAAACUACCAGACUUGAGUGCGGGAGAGGAAGGUGGAAUUCCCAGUGUAGAGGUGAAAUUCGUAGAUAUUGGGAGGAACACCGGUGGCGAAGGCGACCUUCUGGACCGCCACUAACGCUGAGACGCGAAAGCGUGGGGAGCAAACAGGAUUAGAUACCCUGGUAGUCC